rnacentral:rRNA from 1 species
UCCGUAGGUGAACCUGCGGAGGGAUCAUUAACGAGUUAGGGCCUCCGUGCCCGACCUCCAACCCUCUUGUAUCACAACACCUCGUUGCCUCGGGGGUGGCCCUGCCUCACGGCGGGCCCCCCGGAGGACCACUCAAACACUGCAUUUUAAUGUCGUCUGAGUUAGAUUUUAAAUGAAAUCAAAACUUUCAACAACGGAUCUCUUGGUUCUGGCAUCGAUGAAGAACGCAGCGAAAUGCGAUAAGUAAUGUGAAUUGCAGAAUUCAGUGAAUCAUCAAACCCUUGAACGCAAAUGGCGCCCUGUGGCAACGCAGGGCACGGCUGUUUGAGCCUCGGUAUUCAACCUCGUACCCAAACACCAUGUGUGUUAGGGUUGCGGAUCGUGGGGAUUGUGACAGCACAUUCCCUGAAAUGCAGCUGCCUGCAGCAGUGGGAUCAGGACCAAAAGCCGAUCCAAACAACCAGUUCAUGAUGGCACACGCCUCUCUUAGCUGGCUUGGAUUGUCCUGCGGCCCCCCCUCGCGACAACCAUGGCAUGAUGUGUAGUUCCCCUUUACCGGGGGCAAUGGCACCCAUUUCAAACUUCCGGAGCUCAAAUCAGGGCGGAGAUUACCCGGCUGGAAUUUAAGGCAUAUCAAUAAGGC